AGAAUCAACGCUGGCGGCGUGCCUAACACAUGCAAGUCGAACGAGAAAGUGGGAGCAAUCCCACGAGUAAAGUGGCGCACGGGUGAGUAACACGUGACUAACCUACCCUUGAGUGGGGGGAUAACCUAGGGAAACCUGGGCUAAUACCGCAUAAUACCUACGGGUCAAAGGAGCAAUUCGCUUAAGGAGGGGGUCGCGGCAGAUUAGUUAGUUGGCGGGGUAAUGGCCCACCAAGACAGUGAUCUGUAUCCGGCCUGAGAGGGCGCACGGACACACUGGAACUGAAACACGGUCCAGACUCCUACGGGAGGCAGCAGUGGGGAAUUUUGCGCAAUGGGGGAAACCCUGACGCAGCAACGCCGCGUGGAGGAUGAAGCCCCUUGGGGCGUAAACUCCUUUCGAUCGGGAAGAUAAUGACGGUACCGGAAGAAGAAGCCCCGGCUAACUUCGUGCCAGCAGCCGC
rnacentral:rRNA from 1 species